GGGGUGGGGGUGCCGGACGUGCUCAGAAUUACCCUUUCAGCCUGCUAGAUGCCGAAGCCGGAGAAAAGUGAAUGUUAUUUUGAGAACUCAGUGAGCAUGCGAGGGAUCGCGUGCCCAGCGGUGGGAACUCAGUUGUCUGUUGUGGAGGCUUCCAGUGGGAGGACGCCUUCCUACAGCCUUGCAGUUGCUUUUCCGAAAGCGGCAACCGAUCGGCUUCCUUCUCUUAGCCCGGAAGGUUAACGCCAUUGAGAAAGCGGACCUCGGAAGCUGGAGCGCCUGUGUCUGCUCGCGCGCUGGGUUAACCAGACACGGUUGUGUGAAUUUCACAGGCCAAUACAUUUCCAAUUGCGGAAGACUUUUCAGAAAUGCUUACGUAUCUGAGAGUGGUAUGUGCUAGCCCCGGGGGAGAGAGGUCGCCUUAGCGUGGCUGUUAAUUGAGACUCUGCAAGGGGUGUUUGGAGCUGGAGGAGCAAGCUGCGUGUGUUUCUUCAGAAGGCGCGGUGGGAAUCCCGUGCUCACUGUGGUCUCAGGCUAUCUAUCCCCAGAGGGUUCUGGUGGCUCCUUGCAAGUUCGCUGUAACCUGUGUGACAGUCCAUUACGCCCGUGCCUGCCCCACUGUGCCACGCAGCUUUUGGAAAGCAUUUGUUUGUCUCGUCAGAGUCGCAAGAAUUGUAGUUACAGGGUUCAGUGAAAUAUCUUGUUUACCGACCUGCAGUGACGGGCUUAAAUUGAACAGCGAGGGGACACUAUGCGUUUGCGCCAGUACACAAAUGUUUGUAUCAACAGAUGCUGUUAAUUGUGUUCCCUUUUUUCCCCGAUCAUUUUUAAUGUAGCUGUGUUAUAAAAAGUCCUCCACGCUG